GGUUGAUCCUGCCAGGGGUCAUAUGCUCAGUUAAAAGAUUAAGCCAUGCACGUGUAAGUUCACAUCUUUUAUGGUGAAACCGCGAAUGGCUCAUUACAACAGCUAUAAUUUACUUGAUGUUGACUAUCCUACUUGGAUAACUGCGGUAAUUCUGGAGCUAAUACAUGCAUCAAAGCUCUGACACCCUCGGAGCGCAUUUAUUAGAACAAAACCAAUCGGCUUCGGCCGUUUGUUGUUGACUCUGAAUAACUUAGCUGAUCGCAUGGUCUUGUACCGGCGACAUAUCUUUCAA
rnacentral:rRNA from 1 species